AGGUGCAGGUGAUGGGCUGUGUCUUACAAGAUGAACAAAUUGGAGAGGAGGGGUUGCCGUGGAGAAGAGAACAGAAACUGGAGCUCAAAUAGGAAGUGGUUGCAAUGAUCCUGCUUUUGCAUUUGAAGCCAUCUGUGUUCUUUGAGCAGAACUGCAGUGAAGACAGAUACCUGUUGACUCCUAAAGCCAAUCCCCCCCGAGACAUCUACUUCGCUGUGAAAUGGGUGGAAAUGGCUCAGCUGUCUCAUAAAGGGAGCCAGUAAAGCUCUCAAUAGAGGCAUCUACAGGUUUAUGCUGAUGGCUGCAGACACAGAGCCCUUGGAGGUCUCUCCCAUCUCUUGCCGUGGUUGGAAGAGAAGAGAGCACCUCAAAUAGGACCUGGGAUGGUUAUUGUCUGCUCAGUUAGCAGCAAAGAAGGUUUGCAGCUGAAACCCAGGAUUCAGUCUAUCCUGCAGUCCGCUGGAAGAAUCUUAGUCUAAACCAUGGAUCUCAGUCAAACCUCCUGCUGACUUCCCUGCUUGGAUAAUUGUGCGAUAUAUGUUGUCUUUGUGUCAGCCUGUGUUUUUUUUCAAUUAAUUUUCAUUACUAAAAACUGUAGUCCAGAAUCUGACUUCUUGAUUUUUCUAAAAAAACACAAUUUUCACCCAGCCAUUUUAAACAAUACAAAAAUGCUAGAAGGGGUAUG
rnacentral:lncRNA from 1 species